CCUACGGGAGGCAGCAGUGGGGAAUAUUGCACAAUGGGCGAAAGCCUGAUGCAGCAACGCCGCGUGAGCGAUGAAGGCCUUCGGGUCGUAAAGCUCUGUCCUCAAGGAAGAUAAUGACGGUACUUGAGAAGGAAGCCCCGGCUAACUACGUUCCAGCAGCCGCGGUAAUACGUAGGGGGCUAGCGUUAUCCGGAUUUACUGGGUGUAACGGGUGCGUAGGUGGAUUCUUAAGUCUGAGGUGAAAGGCUACGGCUAAACCGUAGUAAGCCUUUGAAACUGGGGAACUGGAGUGCAGGAGAGGAGAGUGGAAUUCCUAGUGUAGCGGUGAAAUGCGUAGAUAUUAGGAGGAACACCAGUUGCGAAGGCGGCUCACUGGACUGUAACUGACACUGAGGCACGAAAGCGUGGGGAGCAAACAGGAUUAGAUACCCGAGUAGUC
rnacentral:rRNA from 1 species